AUUGAACGCUGGCGGCAGGCUUAACACAUGCAAGUCGAGCGCAUCCUUCGGGGUGAGAGGCAGACGGGUGAGUAACGCGUGGGAACGUACCCUUUCCUACGGAAUAGCUCCGGGAAACUGGAAUUGAUACCGUAUACGCCCUUAGGGGGAAAGAUUUAUCGGGGAAGGAUCGGCCCGCGUUGGAUUAGCUAGUUGGUGGGGUAAAGGCCUACCAAGGCGACGAUCCAUAGCUGGUCUGAGAGGAUGAUCAGCCACAUUGGGACUGAGACACGGCCCAAACUCCUACGGGAGGCAGCAGUGGGGAAUAUUGGACAAUGGGCGCAAGCCUGAUCCAGCCAUGCCGCGUGAGUGAUGAAGGCCUUAGGGUUGUAAAGCUCUUUCAGUAGGGAAGAUAAUGACGGUACCUACAGAAGAAGCCCCGGCUAACUUCGUGCCAGCCGCCGCUGUAA
rnacentral:rRNA from 1 species